rnacentral:rRNA from 1 species
UACGUAGGGCGCAAGCGUUGUCCGGAAUUACUGGGCGUAAAGCGCGUGUAGGCGGCUCUGCAAGUCGGGUGUGAAAUCCCACGGCUCAACCGUGGAAGUGCAUUCGAAACUGCAGGGCUAGAGUCCUGGAGAGGAAGGUGGAAUGCUUGGUGUAGAGGUGAAAUUCGUAGAUAUCAAGCGGAACACCGGUGGCGAAGGCGGCCUUCUGGACAGUGACUGACGCUGAGACGCGAAAGCGUGGGGAGCAAACAGG